rnacentral:tRNA from 1 species
GAGGGUAUAGCUCAGUGGUAGAGUCGUGCUUAGCAUGCACGAGGUCCUGGGUUCAAUCCCCAGUACCUCUA